rnacentral:rRNA from 1 species
GAUGAACGCUAGCGGCAGGCUUAAUACAUGCAAGUCGAGGGGCAGCAGGACUGUAGCAAUACAGUUGCUGGCGACCGGCAAACGGGUGCGGAACACGUACGCAACCUUCCUUUAAGUGGGGAAUAGCCCAGGGAAACUUGGAUUAAUACCUCGUAACAUUAUGAAAUGGCAUCAUUUUAUAAUUAUAGCUCCGGCGCUUAAAGAUGGGCGUGCGACUGAUUAGGUAGUUGGCGGGGUAACGGCCCACCAAGCCUUCGAUCAGUAACUGGUGUGAGAGCACGACCGGUCACACGGGCACUGAGACACGAGCCCGACUCCUACGGGAGGCAGCAGUAAGGAAUAUUGGUCAAUGGACGAAAGUCUGAACCAGCCAUGCCGCGUGGAGGGUGAAGGUCCUCUGGAUUGUAAACUUCUUUUAUAUGGGACGAAAAAAGACUUUUCUAAGUCGUCUGACGGUACCAUAUGAAUAAGCACCGGCUAACUCCGUGCCAGCCGCCGCGGUAAAAC